rnacentral:rRNA from 1 species
GGAUUGACGUAAUGGUCGUGCCUUAAGGGGUAUGAACUGUUGCUGUUGAUUUCUCACCUUCUGGAGAAACUUGAUGUCCUUAAUUGGGUGCCGCGGGGAACCAGGUCCUUUACUUUGAAAAAAUUAGAGUGUUUAAAGCAGGCAUUUUUGCUUGAAUACAUUAGCAUGGAAUAAUAAAAUAGGACGGCAUGGUUCUAUUUUGUUGGUUUCUAGGACCACCGUA